AGACAAGUAGAUUUCUUGUACAUUUGAGUUGCCUUAGAAUUGAAAUCAACCUUUUCUUGUUUUCUCUGUCUCUUUCUCUCUCUCUCUUUUUAGUUAAGAUUAUUAAGUCCCCUAUGAUCCUUGGAAUCGACUCCACAGUUUUUCUUCAUCUUUUUUCCCUAAUGCUGCUAAUGUUUUUCUUUUAUUGAAACAGUUUGGAAACAAAUGGAAAUAAUUAAAUAGUUCAUCCUUGAUAAGAUAUACUCUAAUGCAGCGUGGUAACCAUUUUUAAGUGAACAAUUGAUUUUGAUGAAGCUCUUAGUUGGCCUGUUGUUGUUCUGGGCGCUUUAAAAGUGGGAAGGGAGACUUAAAGGCCCAGGAGAGUGCCUGCCUUUGACAUUUCUGAGAGUAACUAUGAUAAUUGUGAGUACUUCUGGGUAAUCUCAUGACAGGCGGACAGUAUUGAGACUUGAAUCAGCCUCCUUUUCUUUCAUUCUGUUCCCCAAACACCUGCAAUUCUGUGCAAAGGAAUCUAUGAAUCACUGGGUCUGUUGUCCACUUAGUGCCCUGUCCACCACCCCUCACCUUGGAACAAAUCUGCUGCCUUGAAUGAAAUGUGACUGGCAGUCUGAAUUCUGAAAUGUUCCCGAAGGAAGAAGGGCAAAUAAUCUUUCAUGGAAUAGGUAAACAUCAAAGUUUGUACCACAUUUCAAAGUUGUCUGUAGAUGCAGACUAGAUGGCCAAAAGUUGAAAGAACAUACAUUUUGGGCUGAUUAGCCUUGA
rnacentral:lncRNA from 1 species